UACGAAGGGGGCUAGCGUUGCUCGGAAUCACUGGGCGGAAAGGGUGCGUAGGCGGGUCUUUAAGUCGGGGGUGAAAUCCCGAGGCUCAACCUCGGAACUGCCUUCGAUACUGCGGGUCUCGAGUCCGGGAGAGGUGAGUGGAAUUCCUAGUGUAGAGGUGAAAUUCGUAGAUAUUAGGAAGAACACCAGUGGCGAAGGCGGCUCACUGGCCCGGUACUGACGCUGAGGCGCGAAAGCGUGGGGAGCAAACAGG
rnacentral:rRNA from 1 species